AUGGCUCCUACUGAGGCUGAGGCUGAUGUAGAGGAGGGAGAAGAGAAGAAGAAGAGGGAAAGGAAAGCAGCCGAAGCUGCUUUCACGUGGAUUCAAACUCACUUUGCGACGUGCCCUCCGGGUGCCACUGAUGAUGUGAUCCAGACACAUGCUCGUGUCUACAUGUGGUAUGUUGUGUUGAGGACUUUGUUUCCUGACUCCACUGGUAAGAACGCUCCAUGGAUGUGGCUGAAGGCGUUGACCGUCUUCGAUAGCAAAUGGAGCUGGGGUUCAGCGACUCUUGCCUACUUGUACCGACAUGUAGUUGCUGGACGAUGCGUGUUGCAGGAUCACAGAUAG
rnacentral:rRNA from 1 species